GAGUCCCAUGAGCUUGGAAUCUCCAAUGGCUCAACUGGGCAAGACAAUUGGUGUCUUUAAAUUCUGUCAGGGCCUUGUGGACAUAUUUUUCAGCCAGGGGUGUAGUGUUAAAUUUGGAUCGACUGACCACCCACUUUUAUUCAUGCUCAUGAUAAAGUCAGAAUCAAAUGGAUCACGUUGCGUGUUUUAUAUGCGCUGUGUCCCAAGUCUUGAGUGACCCAUGAAGAGAUGAGUUCUUGUUUAGUGCGCUCAUGGCCAUCUCGGAUCCUUAUUCCUUACUCAAGGAAAGCAUUGAUUUUGAAUGCUGGGCUCAAGGUUUUGAUGCUUUUCUGUCUAUUGAUAAAAUGGAAGGAAUCAUUUCACAUGCAACUGUUUAAAUUGGUUGUGUCAUGCAAGGGUUUUGAGAACUGUCUGGACUAAAGAAAUAGUUUGAUUGCCUUGUCAGCAAGAGAGGUGCCUGCAGCCUAGGCGGCAACCAUGCUAUCUUGCACAGACACAAAAAGCCUUUUGGAAGGUUGUGUCUUUGUUGAAGAUGAUGUUUAGCAUUUUAGCAUUCAAGACUCUUCAGACACGGAUUGCGAGAACGCCUGGCCUGAGAAAUUGACACCCGAGUGAAUGGAGGCGAAUGCACCUGCUUAAGUUGAGGAAGGCAGAUCACCAAAGGCGGCAGGAGUCCUUUGGUGAGGAUGGGAGGUCGGGAGAAGCUAAGAAGAAGGAGAGAAGAGACUCUACAGUGGGAGAACCACUUUGGGAAGAGCAGGAUCAGCCCCUUUAUCAUUUCGGUUUGCCUCUUCUGCUGCACCUUCUUCAGUUCGACAGUAUCGCUUUUUUGGUAAUCUGGCGACCGGAACGAUACACUUUACUUCUGAGGAACAGCUACAACUGGAAACAAGGUCAGCUUCAUGUUGUUGUUGUUGUUGUUGUU